AUGGUUAGAAUCUAAAAUGUCAUGAUUCAGUUGUUGCAAAGAUUGUUAAAUCAUGGUAUCACCAUGUCUAUGUUGUUUCUAACGGAUUAACCUUGUUUAACACAUUGUACUGUUGUAUAUUUAAGCGAAACUAUAUCUUCAGAAGAUGCUUCCUACUUUAAACUACAAAAGAGCGAGUUCUAACAACAACAAUGUUUAACACAUCGUACUGUUGUAUAAUUAAGCGAAACCAUGUCUUCAGAAGAUGCUUCCUACUUUAAACUAGAAAAGAGCGAGUUCUAUUGUUUGAAAAUGUAUCUGACUGCAGCUUUAGUAUGUAGAAUGAGUCAGAGAAAAUUCUUAUCUGCAAUCAACUUUAUUCUCUUAUUGAUAAGUAUGUAUAAUUCACCUGAGCUGCAUGAAACUGCCGAUGAUACAAAAGUACAUAGGAAUGUCUCUCUUCAACUCAAGGAUAUUAUCUCUGUGAUGUAACAAAUAGUCUCUUGGAUUGCCUAAUCGAAAAAUUUGCAAUUUGCACCCUUCACAGAUGAAAUUCUCACUUAGACUGGGCUGGUAGGUCUUGAACAUAGUAAAACCAAUUAACAUCACUGAUAUCUGCCCUUUUAUUAUAUCUGCAAGUUUAUUUGCUAAAUGAUAUACUGAAAAAUGAAGAUUUUAUGUAAGAUGAUGUGAAAGAAAAAUAUGGGUAGUGUCGGGGUUAGUCAUUGUAUAGUGUAAUUGGACUUGUUCUAUCUUCAAAGUAGUCUACAUGAACAGUUCAUUUCGAUAUCUCUUAAUCAGAGCUCUCUUUUCGCUUCGCCAUACCCAAAUGAGAGACGUUAUUGUUACUGCUAUUUCAUCGUAUUUGGAUCUCCAAUUUGAAAUAAAACAAUGCAGCUGAAUGUUACUCUCUGCAUGCUUCAAUUAUUAUGGAGUUUCAAGAUUAGAGAAAGGAUGAUAAACAAAAAAGAUUUUUACAUGGUUAUUUCUAUCACCAUAUAACUAGAAGCUAAGAAAGAAAAAGUAACCUAUCAAAACCUAAGAAAGAUAGAGUUUGUAGUCUAUCUUGUGCUGCUUAUGGACUUGUUGGUAGGUUUUCUAUGGAGGCUAUGAUUGUGUUACAAUGGUUUUCCAUGCAUUUUCUUUGUGGAUCAGUUCCUAAUAUGUUAUGAUUGUUCAUAAAUUGAAUCUCACUAUAUUAAGAAGUGCGAGAGGCUUAUACCAAAGUGAGCUGCAUGGUUUCCGAGGAGUUUGCGGAACCAUAGUUUAAUUCAUUUCGUAAAAGCAAGAGGUUGGUUCUUUGUCCAAACCUCUUUCUGGUUACAUGUACAAAAAAUGAUUCAUCCUUAUACAAACAAUUGCCUACUAUCAAGACACUCGACUGGCAAAUGCAAAGUCCAUGUCUCUUCAUAUUUGAAACCAUAUGAUGGAAAUUCCCUAGUUAAAUGCUAUACUUUAUCUAUUGAAUUGUGUCUUACUGCUGGAAUCCUAGGCUGAGCUUCAU
rnacentral:lncRNA from 1 species